GACGAACGCUGGCGGCGUGCUUAACACGUGCAAGUCGAACGGAAAGGCCCUGCUUUUGUGGGGUGCUCGAGUGGCGAACGGGUGAGUAACACGUGAGUAACCUGCCCUUGACUUUGGGAUAACUUCAGGAAACUGGGGCUAAUACCGGAUAGGAGCUCCUGCUGCAUGGGGGGGGUUGGAAAGUUUCGGCGGUUGGGGAUGGACUCGAGGCUUAUCAGCUUGUUGGUGGGGUAGGGGCUGACCAAGGCUUUGACGGGUAGCCGGCCUGGGAGGGUGACCGGCCACCUUGGGACUGCGAUACGGACCAGACUCCUACGGGAGGCAGCGGUGGGGAAUAUUGCACAGUGGGCGGAAGCCUGAUGCAGCAACGCCGCGUGCGGGAUGACGGCCUUCGGGUUGUAAACCGCUUUCGCCUGUGACGAAGCGUGAGUGACGGUAAUGGGUAAAGAAGCACCGGCUAACUACGUG
rnacentral:rRNA from 1 species